rnacentral:rRNA from 1 species
GAUUAUGGCUCAGGAUGAACGCUAGCUACAGGCCUAACACAUGCAAGUCGAGGGGCAGCAGAUCGAAAGCUUGCUUUGAUGCUGGCGACCGGCGAAUGGGUGAGUCACGCGUGUCCAACCUGCCCCCCGCCCGGGGAUAGCCCUUGGAAAUGAGGAUUAAGACCCGAUAGGUGGCGCUUCCGCAUGGCGGCGCCAUGAAACUGGCGAGGGAUGGGACGCGUCGGAUUAGCUUGACGGCGGGGCAACGGCCCACCGUGGCGACGAUCCGCAGGGGUUCUGAGAGGAAGGUCCCCCACACUGGCACUGAGACACGGGCCAGACUCCUACGGGAGGCAGCAGUGAGGAAUAUUGGUCAAUGGCCGAGAGGCUGAACCAGCCAAGUAGCGUGCAGGAUGACGGCCCUACGGGUUGUAAACUGCUUUUGCGGGAGGAUAAAGUGCGCCACGCGUGGCGCUUUGCAGGUAUCCCGUGAAUAAGGACCGGCUAAUUCCGUGCCAGCCGCUGC